UGUCGUAGAAUGCGUUGUUGCUGUUGAGUUGUUGAUAUUGUGUUUGUAUUGGAUCAUUAAGGAGCCAGCCAGGAAGAGAGGUCGCUCUGACAUGUGGGAACACUUCAAUCUGAUCGCUCCUGAUAAGGUCCGGUCAUGGGAGUAUCAUGGGAAUACUUCCUCCAUGAUUAGGCACUUCACUGCCAAGCCAACACAAUGGACCAGAAGCGAGAGCUAGAUGAGGCUCUUGUGAAUAUGGUGGUGAAAGACUCGCAGCCAUUUUCCAUCGUGGAUGACUGUGGCUUCAAGGAGUUUGUGGCAUUGCUUGAUCCCACAUACACUCUUCCUGUCACAGUCUGGUUGCACUUUGGUUUCCUGUUUUAUUUUUGAUAUGUUCACUCCUCCUUGUGUCAUGUCUAGUUGUACUUCCUGUCAGUGUGUUUUCCCUCCCCUCCUGUC